CAAAGAUGUCAAGUUUCACCCUUUUGCCAAUCCAUACAGAAGUUACGGUUAGACACUGAAAUUAUGUAUUUCUUCAUGAAGCAUUGCAUGUUUGUUUGUGCAUGUGGCCAAUCACUAGCCGAGGGAGAAAC